ACAAGUAGUACAACUACAUGACAUAGUGAUGAUAGGCUAUUAUUAAUAAAUAUUAUUAUAGGCUACAAUAUUGUUAUUUAAAUGUCUUGUCUCAAUCAUCAAUGUAUGGUUCCAAAAUAAUUAAAUUAGUUAAAGUUAAAUUACUAAUAUUAGAAUAUUUAAAAUAAAUUAAAAUGUUACUAAAUUUAGAUCUAAUCUUUAAUUCUAGAUCUAGAAUCUAGAUCUAGAUUCUAUCUAGAAGUUACUAGAAGCUAGACUAGUGUAAAUUAAACUUUACUUUAUCUUUGCCCAUUAGAAUUUAGAGUCUAGACCUUGAUCUCUAGAAUAUUCUAGAAUCUAUCUAGAUCUAUUCUAUAUGAUAAAAUUUAGCUAACUCUACAUCAUUUCAAGACCAGACAGUUUUUUUUGUUUUAGCUUAGCUACAUGAGUUGAUCUAGUUUAUUUUUGUUAAGAUAAACUUUGACCUCACAUUAUUUUCUUGCUAUGCUACAAGAUCACAUCACUUUAAAUUAAUCUCAUGUAACUGUAAGGUGUCAAUGAUUUCACAAUCUUGAAAAACAAAUGCUUGUACAAUCUAGAAUCUCUUGUCUAUAAUUUAUAAAAAAAAAUAUUACAACCGUAAUUAGCAUUUUAUAGACCAAAGGUUGAUUUGUUUUUAUUCUGAGUUGUCACAUAGACUCUAGUUCUAAUUUAAAUUUAUUCUGUAUUCAAGUUGUAAUUCAACUUCCAGAAACAAGGGCAACAAUAAAUCUAGUCUGAAUUUUGACCAUGACCUAGAUAAAAAAAAAGUAUGCCAUAAAGUUGUUUUGUUAUUUCAAAGUGACAGACAAGGACAAACUGCUUUAAAAAAAAACAAGCACUAGUUCUGAAUCUAUAGUGGAAUAAGUCAUAAUCUCCAAUCUAUUGUUCCUGCACUGUAUUAUGAGUUCUACACUACACAGCUCUAAGUACAAGUUAGGUCAUGAAGCCUUGUGGUCCAUAAAGCAGUUCCCUUAUUUCUAGUCCAAAGGUUCUUCAGCACAUAUCAUAUAUCAGAUGAUAUUUAAACAAAAUAGAAAUCAGUGUUAAGCCUAAAUAGUAAAAAUAAUCUUUGAUAGUGUAAAAUCAUUUCAAACAUUUUGAAAUUUUAAUUAUUUUUUUUAAAAAAGAUUCUUAAUAUAAUGGUUUACUGUAAUUAAAUCACCAUAACUUACAAGCUCAGUUAAAGUUUUCAAAUUCCCCCAACAAAUUUCUAUGUAAAAACUACAGAUUUCUAUUUUGCAAUAUACCAGUAUUCUUAAGAUUGGGAUUCAAAUGAAGGUACGAAGAUUGGGAUUCAAAUGAAAGUAUUUAUGAUGGGAGUUAAAAUGAAGGGUACUGAAGACAGGAAUUCAAAUAAAGGCACUUAAGAUGAAAGUUCAAAUGAAGGUUACUUAAGAUGGGGAUUCAAAUGAAGGUACUUAAGAUGGGGAUUCAAAUGAAGGUACUUAAGAUGGGGAUUCAAAUGAAGGUACUUAAGAUGGGGAUUCAAAUGAAGGUUAAAUGAUGUACUUAAGAUGGGAGUUCAAAUGAAAGUUCUUAAUUAAGAUGGGGAUUCAAAUGAAAGUACUUACAAUGGGAGUAAUAAUGAAUGUACUUAAGAUGGGGAUUCAAAUGAAGGUACUUAAGAACUUAAGAUGGGAGUUUAAAUGAAGGUACUUAAGAUGGGAAAGUACUUAAUUAAGAUGGGGAUUCAAAUGAAAGUAUUUAUGAUGGGAGUUAAAAUGAAGGUACUGAAGAUGGGGAUUCAAAUGAAAGUAUUUAUGAUGGGAGUUAAAAUGAAGGAUACUGAAGACAGGAAUUCAAAUGAAGGCACUUAAGAUGAAAGUUCAAAUGAAGGUUACUUAAGAUGAGGAUUCAAAUGAAGGUACUUAAGAUGGGGAUUCAAAUGAAGGUACUUAAGAUAGGGAUUCAAAUGAAGGUACUUGUGACAUAAUGGGGAAAUAACUAUUUUUGAUUACUUGUAUAGUUAGGAGUGAUUCCCCUUAUGUAGUUUGUAAAAGGCCUUGCAAACUGUGUUUAGUUGCCACUUGCUCCUGAGUUACCAGCUUGACCACUUGACCUGUGUUGUGUAUAGUAUUUUUUCUGUUACUGGUCGUGUGUCAUGGGGUACUCGGAGAAGUGUGCCCUGCUCUGGAGAUCUUUGGGCUAAGUAUGUCUUUAGUAUUAUUGUAUUUUAUAUAAUGUAUUUAUUAAUAUAUAUAGCCCCAAAUGAUUUCCAGGCAGUAUAUUUUCUUUACCCUGAUGUUCUGCAUCCUGGGGUACUCCCAAACGUGACAUAUUUUUGUAACCUUUCUGAGGGAUUCAACCUGUAUUGAAUCAUCAGAUGGACUUUACAUAUUUUUUAUAGCCUUGUCUCUGAGGGAUUCAACCUGUAUUGAAUCAUCAGAUGGGCUUUACCAAACGGAUGGCUAUAGGUGGGAUUCUAUGAAGCUUGUAGGCUCAUAGGUUUCCCUGAAGCCUAUAGUUCAUCAUGACCAUUUUGUUUUUGUUUUUUGGCUAAAAGUGGCUAGUGUAAGCCUGAAGCCUGUAACCAUAGUGUAGCCAAAAGUGGUCGUGUUUCGACCUGAGGCCUGUGACCUUCAGUUGGCUGUGUAAGCCGGAAGUUUGUAACCCAGUGGUCAAAAGUGGUCAUGUGUUGACCUGAGGCCUGUGACCUGUAUUUUUGAUAACCAGAAUGUGACGAUAAUGUAACAUAUGACUAGGGCUGUGUGCCAUAUUAUUUUUGAGUAUCUUUUGUUUACUUUUUGUUGUGUCGGCCUGUGAGUUAAUGGCCAUGUAUUUACACCUUUAUUUUAUUCAUGUAAAUAAACCAUGUAAAUAUGUUUA